rnacentral:rRNA from 1 species
ACUCUCAGCAAUGGAUAUCUCGGCUCUCGCAUCGAUGAAGAACGUAGCGAAAUGCGAUACUUGGUGUGAAUUGCAGAAUCCCAUAAGUGAUCGAGUCUUUGAACGCAAGUUGCACUUGAAGCUUUCCGGCCGAGGGCACGUCUACCUGGGCGUCAUGUAUCGCGCCUCCCCCCGGCCCGCCAGGGGAGAAGGAUGAUGGCCUCUUGCGCCCUAGCCGGGCUGGUGUUGGCCUAAAACGGGAGCUCGCGGCUACGAGCUAUGGCGGCGAUUGGUAGUGGACGAGGCCUUAAGUGGCCACCGUUUGCAUCGUGCCGCAUAGGCAUGCCGUCGAGAAGGACUCGUUGGGCCCUAACGUGUGUUGAAAGCACAAAACCGUUGUGACUCCAGGUCAGGCGGGGCUACCCGCUGAUUUUAAGCAUAUUAAUCAGCGGAGGAAAAGAAACUUACAAGGAUUCCCCUAGUAACGAUGAGCGAACUGGGAAAAGCCCAGCUUUAAAAUCGAGCGACCUCACCGUCCGAAUUGUAGUCUGGAGAAGCGUCCUCUGCGGCGGACAGGGGCCCAAAUCCUCAGGAAAGGGGCACCGGAGAGGAUGAGGGCCCCGUCGUGCCCGGACCUUGUCGCACCACGAGGCGUUAUCGUCGAGUCAGGUUGUUUGGGAAUGUAGACCCAAGCGAGCGGUAAAGUCGGCGGGGGCUUUGGGAAUAGUUAUCUUUUCUAUUUAACAGCCUGCCCACCCUAGAAACGACUCAAUCGGAAGUAGGGUCCAGUGGCUGGAAGAGCACCGCACGUCGCGUGGUGUCCGGUGCACCCUCGAUGACCCUGAAAAUCCGGAGGACUGAGUGCCGGCCACGCCCGGUCGUACUCAUAACCGCAUCAGGUCUCCAAGGUGAACAACCACUGGUUGAUGGAACAAUGUAGGCAAGGGAAGUCGACAAAAUGGAUCUGCAACUUCAGGAAAAGGAUUGGCUGUAAGGGCUGGGCGCGGGGGUCCUAGCCAUGAACCCGUUGGCAGUCGCCAGACUGCUCGAGUUGCUCGCAGGGCGAGAGCGAGUCGCCAUGUGCCGGCUGGGGGAAGGACAUGGGAACGGUCCCUUUGGGGGCCUUCCCCGGGCGUCGAGUAGUCAACUUAGAAUUGGUGCGGAUAAGGAAAAUCCGAUUGUUUAAUUAAAACAAAGCAUUGCAAUGGUCCCUGCGGAUGUUAACACAAUGUGAUUUCUGCCCAGUGCUCUGAAUGCCAAAGUGAAGAAAUUUAACCAAUCACAGGUAAACUGCGGGAGUAACUGUGACUCUCUUAAGGCAGCCAAAAGCCUUGUCAUCUAAUUAGUGACGUGCAUGAAUGGAUUAACGAGAUUCCCAUUGUCCCUGUCUACUAUCCAGUGAAACCACAGCCAAGGGAACAAGCUUGGCAGAAUCAGCAGGAAAAGAAGACCCUGUUGAGCUCGACUCUAGUCCGACUUUGUGAAAUGACUUGAGAGGUGUAGCAUAAGUGGGAGCUUCGGCGCAAGUGAAAUACCACUACUUUUAACGUUAUGUUUCUCACUCCGUAAGUCGGAGGCGGGGCAUCGCCCCUCUUUUUGGACCUAAGGCUCGCUUUGCGAGCCGAUCCAGGUGGAGGACAAUUUCAGGUGGAGAGUUUGGCCGGGGCGGCACUUAUGUUAAAAGAUAACGCAAGCAUCCUAAGAUGAGCUCAACUAGAAUAGAAAUCUCGUGUGGAAUAGAAGGGUAAAAGCUCGUUUGAUUCUGAUUUUUAGUACGAAUACAAACCGUGAAAGCGUGGCCUAAUGAUCCUUUAGACCUUCGGAAUUUGAAGUUAGAGGUGUUAAAAAAGUUACCACAGGGAUAACUGGCUUGUGGUAGCUAAGCAUUCAUAGCGACGUUGCUUUUUGAUCCUUUGAUGUCGGCUCUUCCUAUAAUAAUCAAGCAGAAUUCCCCAAGUGUUGGAUUGUUCACCCACCAAUAGGGAACGUGAGCUGGGUUUAGACCGUCGUGAUACAGGUUAGUUUUACCCUACUGAUGACAAUGUCGUGAUAGUAAUUCAACCUAGUACGAGAGGAACUCUUAAUUCACACAAUUGGUCAUGGCGCUUGGUUGAAAAGCCAGUGGUGCGAAGUUAUCAUGCGCUGGAUUAUGAUGGAAUUCAUGUAAGUUAGAAUCCAGGCCAGAAAUGAUACAUGUGCUCGUCGCCUGAUUGCUGACCUGCAGUAGGGGCCUUGGCCCCCAAGGGUAAGUGUCGUAGGCUAAGCCAACGUGGCAGAUGCGCCACGAGGGCCGCCUUGAAGUACAAUUCCUACUAAAUGGCGGGUUGAAUCCUUUGCAGACGACUUAAAUAUGCGACGGGUUAUUGUAAGUGGCAGAGUG